rnacentral:rRNA from 1 species
UUCUGGCUCAGGAUGAACGCUAGCUACAGGCUUAACACAUGCAAGUCGAGGGGCAGCAUAAUCGAAGCUUGCUUUGAUUGAUGGCGACCGGCGCACGGGUGAGUAACGCGUAUCCAACCUUCCCCUUAGUAGGGCAUAGCCCGGCGAAAGUCGGAUUAAUACCCUAUGUUAUCCGUCGAGGACAUCUGAAGUGGAUUAAAGAUUUAUCGCUAAGGGAUGGGGAUGCGUCUGAUUAGGUUGUUGGCGGGGUAACGGCCCACCAAGCCUACGAUCAGUAGGGGUUCUGAGAGGAAGGUCCCCCACAUUGGUACUGAGACACGGACCAAACUCCUACGGGAGGCAGCAGUGAGGAAUAUUGGUCAAUGGGCGAGAGCCUGAACCAGCCAAGUGGCGUGCCAGGAUGACGGCCCUAUGGGUUGUAAACUGCUUUUGCAUGGGAAUAAAGUCGGGGACGUGUCCCCGUUUGUAUGUACCAUGAGAAUAAGGACCGGCUAAUUCCGUGCCAGCCGCAGC